GCGGUCUGAGGUGGGGAAUCAGAGCGAUUCCCAGCCUCCGAGAAAGGGGAGCCGAUUUUUCAGAUUCGGGCUCGUUUCUGGCGCGAGACAGCGAAGGCUCUGAGAAAGGGGAACGCGGCGGCGGCGAUGGGACGACAGGACGGUGUUGGGGACGCCCUGGGGGGAACUCACUUUGACUAUAUGUUUAGAAAGAAGAGUUGCCGUGUACAAGCAACUGAGGACAUUUAGCAGGACCUCACUCUUCCCAGGAGACCACUUCAGGUCAGCCUCCUGUUCUCAUUCUCAGUGAAGAUACCUCCGUCUCUCAGCUCCAGCCCAGACUGGACAUCCUGUUGUCUACUGAGAGAGUCCAGUGAAGAACCUCUUCUCUCUAUUGUUCCAACCACUGGUUAAGAUGUGGGUACUGAAGAGGCCUUAUAUAUGACCAAGAUGGAAGAGCAUAUGUGAUUCCUAGACAGAAACAGUGAAGGUUUCUAAAGGGCUCCUUAGCAGGGAGAGUUUGGCUUGAACUCCAAAGUCAGCCACACUGCCUUGUAUAUUGAAUUUAUUUAAAUUGCUAGCCUCAUCCAGUUAAUUAAUCCAAUUAAUUGUGUUUAAAUUUCUCACCUCAUCCAAUUAAAAAAUCAUUU